AGAGUUUGAUCUGGCUCAGAAUCAACGCUGGCGGCGUGCCUAACACAUGCAAGUCGAGCGAGAAAGUGGAGCAAUCCAUGAGUAAAGCGGCGACCGGGUGAGUAACACGUGACUAACCUACCUUCGAGUGGGGAAUAACUCCGGGAAACCGGGGCUAAUACCGCAUAACAUCGAAAGAUCAAAGCAGCAAUGCGCUUGAAGAGGGGGUCGCGGCUGAUUAGCUAGUUGGCGGGGUAACGGCCCAUCAAGGCGAAGAUCGGUAUCCGGCCUGAGAGGGCGCACGGACACACUGGAACUGAAACACGGUCCAGACUCCUACGGGAGGCAGCAGUGGGGAAUUUUGCGCAAUGGGGGAAACCCUGACGCAGCAACGCCGCGUGGAGGAUGAAGCCCCUUGGGGCGUAAACUCCUUUCGACCAAGACGAUAAUGACGGUACUGGUGGAAGAAGCACCGGCUAACUCUGUGCCAGCAGCCGCGGUAAUACAGAGGGUGCGAGCGUUGUUCGGAAUUAUUGGGCGUAAAGGGCGCGUAGGCGGCGCAGCAAGUCACCUGUGAAAUCUCCGGGCUUAACUCGGAGCCUGCAGGCGAAACUGCUGUGCUGGAGUAUGGGAGAGGUGCGUGGAAUUCCCGGUG
rnacentral:rRNA from 1 species